UAACUUUGCUGAACGGCCGCGCGGUAUUGCGCCGAAAGGUAUUACCGUGAGGAAAGUCCGGGCUUCAUAGGGCAGGGUAGCUGAUAACGUCAGCCGGAGGCGACUCCCGAGAAAGUGCAACAGAAAUAAACCGCCUUGAAAAAGGUAAGGGUGGAAAGGUGAGGUAAGAGCUCACCCACUCCUAUGGUAACAUAGGUUUGCUGUAAACCUUAUCCGAAGCAACACCGUAUGCGGAUCGUUUGCCCGACAUAUAUCCGCGGGUGGCAUGAGGAGAAAUCCUCAAAGCUUAUCGGCGACGGUAAGCGAAGAUAGAUGGCCGUUCUCGACAGAACCCGGCUUAUAGGCAGAGUUACAAA
rnacentral:RNase_P_RNA from 1 species